GCGCUUCGUGGUGGAACGCUUCUGUGCUCCUUGGGCAAAUUGUGCCGAUGUGCCUGAGCGCUUCUGGCGGCACAGAUCGGUGGCUUGGAAAUGCUCUUUGCUCUCCCAGCCUUGCCCCGUCCCGCUGCUCUUUUUUUCGCUCCGUGCUCCUCUCCCGACACGUCGCCGCAGAUUCGGCACGCUUCGCCGCUGCGGGGCCUCCCCUGCGCUGCGUGCUCCCCUGUGCGCUCCCACAUGGCCGCGCUUCGGUAUUUCAUUGCUGAAGAUUGCUACAAAGUGAGGGAGAAUUACAGCUGUGGCACUUGUGUUGGAAUGCUGUCAAUAGCACAGUGCCUCCGCUCUUACUGUGUUGGCCCACGAUGGUGGUGGGAUGGCAGCAGGGCUGAACCUUCCCCCAGUAGUGCUUACACGUGGCUGCCGUGUGAUGGACGGCAGUCUGACAAAAUGGUGUCUGGAGUGGAAGCGUGUAUGAAGCAAACGUGUGUCACUGAAUUACUCCUCCGUGAGGAGAAAAUGGCACUUGCUGACCUUCCUUGACACUUGCUGAACGUCGAUGGAGAGCAAACAGUAAAUGUGAGCACAGUGUGGCGGUGGGUGGUGCACUGCAGAAAUAUGAAAUACACGUAACAGCAGUGUGAAAUACACAUAGCAGCAACAUGAAAUACACAUAGCAGCAACGUGAAAUGCAAGCCACGGCCUGGAUGGCCAGGCACAGCUGUCAUCUCUGCUGGUGUGGAUUGUUGCAAGCAGGGCAUUCAGGUUCUUGUUCAUUGCUGGCAAAAAUGCAUUGCUAGUGGUAGUGACUGUGUUGAAAAAUAGUAUUUGCAGCUGAGAAUGUUGUUUACCAAGUAGAGCUAUUGUGCUCUUCGUAUCUGCUGUAGUUUCCAUGGAAAUAAAUAGGAGGCAUUACUUUCAGAGAAACCUACAUUUUUUUUAUCUUCUGUUUAGCUCUGAGCUCACUUAGUGUAUGUUAUAAUUUCAUCUGGACUCUGAAUUAUUUCUUCACCUAAAUUUCAGGUGCUUGAAGCAGGAUCAUUCGAAGUAUUUGGAGGUGGUCUCCUAUUUCUUUCCUUCCCUGCUACCCACAGAAUCAUUUGUUGGAAGGGACACUUAAAGGCCACGUUGUCCAGCUCUCCUGCAAUGAACCUACAGCUGAUCAGAGAGCUCAGAGCCCCAUCCAGCUUCUCCUUGAAAGUCUUGGCAAGUGCUAAAAUUUGAUUUUGUGAAUGGUUUGUACAUAAAUAUUAAGGUGAUUUGUUACACAACAGUCAGUUAUACUCUUGAACCCUCCUUUCUGAAAUUUAUUCCAACUGUAUCAGUGCUGAUAGUUGUCUGUGCUGUGAAACUCAUUAUAUUGAGUGGUAGGAAAACACACUUGUGCCAGUUGUAGCAGAGAAAGUGGAAAAGAGCAAAGCCAUUAUUUGCACAGCCUUAAUGAGUUGUGAAUCCUGAAAGGCCCCAGUUUCUAGGUUUCACCAUAUGGAGAUUGUUGCAACAUGAAGGCCUUUGCACACUCUGCAUUCAGAUGUACCUCAAUCUCCUGCUCUCCUAACUGAAGAUGAAUAAAUGGAGAUGAAUGAAGAAAUACCCGUUCAUUCUAGUCUUGGACUCAAAAGAGGUGAAGGAAUCCUAAUCCUUUUGAGAAGAGAACUUCUCAGCUUUAUGACGGACAGAGUUUUACCUCAUGUAUACCUUCAGUGUAUAACUUCAUUGUCCCCAAAGAAUUGGGCCCAGUGAGGAGCACACAGAACCCUGUCAGUUGACACUGAAAUGAUGGAUAACAAGCAGCUUGGAAAAACUGCAGACCUAUACAGGAAUGGUACUUUCUGGCUAAGGGCUCUAUUCUGGCAUAAAGAAGUGCCAUAGCUUCAGGAUCAGUUACCACUACAGUGGGCCACAGCUCUCUUCCAAGGCAGGUGUGUGAAUUUUAAACAAGGGGACGCACCCAAGCCUAGAGAGCAUUUCCAGGUGCAGCAAGCAAAGAUUUCCUAGUGGUAAUUAUUUCCCACCAACUCAGACGGAAGGACAGCGUGGGUGCCUGACAAACACUGAUAAGGAGAAUAUGCCAAGUCAACCAGAUAAGUCAGCACAGGCAACAUAAAGGACCGCAGUUAAAAGCUAGGGCUAGGACUUGGAGGAUGUGUAGGCAAACGGAAGGAGAGCCGGGGGAAGAAAAGCCGAAAUGGAUUCAUUCUCCGUCCUGGCUGGAGGAGGAGAGGAGCGGGGACGUGCGGGCUGCCUGCAGCUGCCUCUGUCCGGUGAGAAGUGCUCCCAGCCCCGCGGCUGACUCGGGCUCAGGAGUCCGCGCGGACUUUCUCUCUAAGCUGCCAAUCAAACCGCUAACCGCCACCACCCUGCGCCGGCACCGACAUGAGCUGAGGCACUGUGUUGUGCCAGGGCCACCUCUGCAGACCCCUCGGCCACCUCAGCCCUGAGCAUUGGCUGAACACAUCUGGAUAUUUCUAUUCAGCUCUGCAAACAGACAGAGAUACUCCAAGACUGCGUGUGAGACCAGAUGACGUGAAACUUUCUACCAUUAAACCCUGUUCAGCUGUAGUCCAGAAGCAGGCAGCCCACAGCAGCCUGGGGAUGCUGACAGAAGAAGCCGAAAUGUUUUCAGCCAAACCGAUUUCUUGCCGGCAGCUUUGGAUGCUGUAGCUGGAACCAGAGCAGCCCAAGGAGCGAAGCAAACAAUUAAAACAUUUACAUGUUUGCUUCUUGAUAGACAUCUCUACGAGGCGAGAUUCAAUGAAGCCUGAGUGACUUCAGAAGGAGAAACUUAUUAGAAGAAAUCUUUGCCAUUAUAUGUAUAGUAAGUCCACCUCCCGUGUGUGCUUGUGCUCCAUACAGUGCUGGGCUGCAUGAGAGGAAUGGGCGCAUGCAGUUUGAUUUCGUUUUGCUCACCAUGGAAAGGGACAGCUGCAGCACGCUGACUGCUUUCUGAGAUAUCAGCUGCCAGAUAGCCUGUAACACCUCAGCCAGAGGCACAGGAACCUCUCCAUAAGUGCAAGCCGACCUGAGUCCAUACCUGCACAUACAAGGUGCAGAUUCUUUGGACUCCACACCUGUAGUGUGGUGUCCACAAAACAGCAGCAGCAAAGCAGUUACCACUGUGUGGUAGCCAGCAAAGCUGGCUGUGAUUUACCCAUCCGAGCUCAUGCCUGUCUGAGGACAGCUGGAGCUGGUGAUAUGUUUGCCUUGCAGUACCCAGAAAACUGGAUACCUUUUGGAAUGGUUCUGAAUGGUUACACACAAAUUGGAAACAUCGGUCUCCUGCCAGACCAGGCAGAAAUAACACAGCAAUAUGCCUCAGGGAAGCAAGGAAGUUGUUUAGGACUUCCUCUUCCCUCAGCAAGAGCAAACCUGAAAGCCAUAGAGGGGGAGGCUGGGGAACCAAGCUUGGCUGAAGAUCUCUCAUCACUGACACUGCUGGAGAGUGGUAUGUCCUUCGUGACUCGCUGUACCCUCAUGAUCGCAUCUCAUCUUCUGGUGCCUGGCUGAGCACAGAGAGCCAGUUAUGCUCAGUGUAAGAUGUCAUCACAACAAGCAAUUGGAAAGGCCAAGGAAAGCUGAAAUCCAUGGCUGUGAAGGUGGGGGUGGCUGUUUCACUAUGAGAUGCAGAAGAACUAUUUCUCCUACACCUACCGCAGCCAGACUGCAGUUGUUGAGUUGAGUGACAAGGAAAUGGGAGCCUGGGAUGUCUCAGCACAAGCUUCCCUAAGCCUUGACUUGAUGGGUGAGCACCUGAACACAGCCAGAGCCUGUUACAUUAAAGGCUUUAUAAAAGCAACAGUGCCAAGCUAACAUCCACCUCCCACGUUACCGGCAGCCCCAGCAGGUGUAACGCGAUCCGGCAGUCGCAGCUAGCAGAUAAACAAACGGCCUUUCUGCACAGGUUGUGCCAGAGAGCCUCUCCCAGCGGGGGAUUGGGUUGGAUGUUGUGCUAGGUCAGUGAGCUGCUAUGGAAAGAGCUGUGACAAUGGACAAUCUCAUGGGGCUGUUGUCCUUUUUCCACACAGGAUUUCCCUCAACACCUAACGCAAGGCAGCAGAAAAACUGUUGGGGGAAGUUUCUCUACCAGGCCUCUGAAGUUCAGUGGGAUUGGGCCCUCAGUGAGAGCCUACUGCUGGAUUUCCCUAGGCCAGAGAAAAAAACUUUAGAGCUGCCAGGCCAGCCAGCAGCACUGAGUGCUGCCCACCAGAGCUGCUUGCCUGCUCUGCCAUUGGGGCCCAUCUCCAGUAAGCGAUAUUAACUGAAGGGCAUCCUACUUGGCUACAACAUAUCUUCCUUCUUCACUAUCAGCAGCUAAGCUGCCAGCUGUGCUGAAUUUCCCUUAUUCCACAGCUGAGGUAAUAAUGAAGCAGGGCCUGCACCUUGUGUACUACAUUGGGCCUGGUGGUGUGUGGGCACACUGUUCCACACCACACCAAAAUGGCGUCCAUCUGGUACUGCCCCACAGCAUGUGGGCACACCAUUCCGCACCAAAAUGGCUUCCAUCCUGCACUGCUCUGCAGUGUAAGGACAUUCCACAACAAAAUGGUGGCUCUCCAGAACUUCCCUGCAGUGUGUGGGCACUCCACACCAAAAUGGCGGCUAUCCAGCACUGCCCUGCAGCAUGUGGCACUCCACACCACACCAAAAUGGUUAUCUGUCCUCUGCUGCCCUGCAACUUGUGGGCAUACCGCAGCAAAACUGUGUGUGUGUGGCAGUGUUUCUGCAGUAUAUGGGCACACCACACCUAAAUGGUGCCUGUCCAGCAUUGCCCCACAGCAUCUGGCACACCACACCAAAAUGGCGGCCAUCCAGUACUGCUCCCCUGUCCCUGCACCUCAGCUGGGUCUCAUCCUACCCUUAAAGCCUCCCCCCUCCCUGUUCUUGCUCCAGUUCCUCAUGAGUUAUGAUAACAUAUAAGCAGCUUAGGGAAUUCUUAUCGGAAUGAGUUGAACACAAUGCGACGUUUAACUCUUAAUGACAGCCACCUCUGACUGAGUGACACAUUAUAAAUUAUGUUUGAACUGGGUGUUUUUUUUCAGAGGCAGAUAUCCCCCUGCCACCCAGCCAGCCCUGCGAAGUUGCACUUGUGGCCUUAAUCCCACUUGGAUGUGUGCCCCGCUGCCUCCACUCUCCGUCACUCGGGUGCUUUAGUGUUCUUGAACAAGUGAACAAUCUUUGUUUCUGUACCUUAUUAGGCCAGAGACCAUAGCAGCGAGCGAUGGCAUCAGCAGGCCCCGCAGGCAGGAUUCUCUGCAGACGCAGCCAACCUCCAACAAACCCCUUUUUAUCCUCCUGUUUCUAGGAAGAAUUAUGAUGGUGGUGCCCUGCUGUUGAUCAGUCAAAUCUGUGGUGGGCCUAGAGAUAAGUCCUGUAAGUGUGGUGUACUGUAAAACAGCGGCUCCCAUUCAUUAGUGGCUUGUGUGUAAUAAACCACCCAAUGGAGGGGGAUGGGGAAGAGAGGGAAAGAGCAGCUGCAGUGUGCAGGAACAAACAACACAACUCAUUCUUGGGAGCCAAAACUUUCUAAUUUGCUGCUGGGCUGCUGGGAGCACUCAAAUUCUUUCUGAUAAUGUGCUCGUGCCCUCGGUGUCUCUCUCUGUGUUUCUGCUCUCCAGAAUCUGGAAUAGUUUCACUCCAAACAACAAACGUGGACGCUGCUGAACAGGGAGGAGGAGGGGAACACAGCCACCCAGUGUUUGCAGACUCCAGCACAGCAAAGUGGUGGACUCGAGGCAAGUUCUGCCAUGGAAUGGCUGCUGCACGUAUCUGCUUGUGCAGUGGGUAAACAAGGCAUCACAUGGGCUGCAGGCUGAGCACGAGGCACGUGGCUGACCUAUACGUGUAUGAGGCAUGCCGGAGGGACAGCGUAUUCCAAACGUUGUUAGAGCCUGGUGGGAUAUUCGGGAACUUCCCUCAAAAAGCUCAAACAAAACAAACGUCAAAUUGAUUGUAACUGAAAAAUUAUUUGGCUUAAUUUCUCCUGUUUUUCCACAAAUUCCAGUGAGUAUUUACAUAAGAGUAUUUCUACAUUGCCUUGCAUUGGAAAUGGCUUGUAAGUAUGUUCAUCAAGAUGUCAGUCAAUUAUAACUUGUUGCACCUGUUUGGAUCUCAGUAGUUACUAAUUGUAACUGUGGAUUUUCAGCUGUGACUGUGCUGGUGCUCAGCCCCAGAUCUGACUGCCCAUAGGACAAUAUUUCAAACUAGAAAUUAAAAUCUCUGUGUGUGUUUCACAACUGCUCUCAUAGACCAAACCUUUGUGCUAGAGCUUGUACUGUCACGAGAAAGGGAAAUUAAUUUUGGAUUGAUGCUGCUCAGAAGGACCAUUAUACCCUUGCAGGAUCACACUGACUGCUUUUUCAGUGAUGUGCCAGGCUGUGAUGGUGCUUGGACUGUCUCCUAACAUUUCUACAGACAAGGGCUACUUAAACAGCAACUUCAGGCUUGGGCCAAACUGAAGUACCCUUUAUGUAGACAGGCGAAGUGUCAGACACAGAGUUUUUCACUUUAGUGCAGGAGAUCCACUCGCUUUCUCUUCCCUGACCUGGAGACCUGUGCCAGGCAUUGCCUGAGUCUUAACCCUUCAGUAGGAGGUGUCUCUCUGACACCUUGGCCAUAGUACCUAAUGGGUGCAGGUAAUGGGUGGCCAGUCAGACCUGGCCAAAUCCUGUGCUAGAUCUGAGCACAAACCAGUUCUACCAAAGGUUUAGGCAGUGAAGGAGCUGAAACUGGCUGCUUACCUGCCAAGCUGUACAAGGCCAGCAUAUGGCCCAGCCCUACAAGCUCUGCUUGUAGCAUUUUGGUAUUUCUGAUAAAGUGAUAAAGUCAUUUGGCAUUUUGAUUUCCCCAUGGGACAAACAGUGUGACAAUCUAAAAAUAAUAAAUAGGCUUCCUGCACAAAUACCUUGAAUCAUUAGAAGCUGAUGUUCUGUGAAUUUGCUGUGAAUCUGUUACUGCUUUUAUAUUUUCAUAAGGAUGUAGUCUAACCAUUGUUGGACAGAGGUAAACAUGAGUAACCCAGUUUUGUUCUUACACUUGGGACACUGCAAAUAGCUGAGAAGUCCUGAAGUUUUUGUGUCUAACCAGAUGAAACUGGGGGAAAUGAAAUAUUUCUUACUAAACUGAGGCAAAAUGUGCCUUACUGAUCUAUAAGGCAGUCUAAUAAUUUUGGGUUCAAAGAUGUCUAAUGUUGAAUUAUUAAAUGACUCAAUCUAGUUUUCUUUUAGAAAGAGUGAAUUAGUGAUACUAAUCUAUCAGCUAGAUCCAAACAAUUACAAAAACUGUCCUGGAAAAUAGAAUGAGAAGUAGACCAAAAACUCAGAACUCAGUCUUGCAAAUAAAAUAACAUUUUGUGACUGGUUGUUCACUAAUACAUGUGAAAGAAGGGCUACAUGUUACAUGUCUUUUGUUGUUGACAGUGUGCCCAAUGCUGUAUGAUAAAUGUUUGAAUAGUAUCACCUUCUGUUCUGCCUCCUUCACCUACAGGAGCAGCUGUGGUGGUGAAGGGGCAGCGUGAGGCACUGCCAGCCCUGACUUCCUGCAGCUGUCCAUCCGGCACCUGAACCUCGGGCAGCACCGCGUCUGUGUCCUGUGCCUGGAACCAUGCAAGAACAAAGUUUGUUCUAAACGUGAAUUUAAUGUGCUUUCAGGUUUGACAGCCUCUUUUAAAAGGAAACGUUUAAGUUGAGCGAAAGGCACAUUUGUCUCUCCAAAUUAUUGGAAUUAUGGUUCAAAGAUCUGACUUAAUCCCGAGGCUCUUGCACUGUGCAGUAAGUAGGAAAGAAAGGGGAUUGCUCCGAGGAGCAGGGGUUAGCAGGAUCAGGGGCUGUUUUAUAUCAUCUCAUUUUCCUUCUGGUAUUUAAUAUACUUUCUUCUCAACUUGCACUGGCUGCUUGUAAAAAGACCCAGCAGUAUCAUACAUUAACUAAUGGCAAAUAAACUAUUAAUUGAAACUAAUGAAGGAUGGUACAGGGAGUUCCCAUCCAGCUUUCCUGCUAGGAAAAUUUGAUUAUUGUUAAGCAAACAAAAAUGCCAUUCUUCCAGAUGUAUUCUCUCACAUGGUUUCAUCCUUUUUCAGUUCAUUUCAGGACUUUUCUCAAGUGCAUUUUACUUGUUAUAACUAUUUGCUCUUUUUCUACUUAAAAAAAAGAAAGUAUAUACAACUGUGUUUUAAAAUCUACAUUGACAUUUCAGUGAUUUGAAGGAAGAUGUUUACACAGUAACAGUGCCAUCUAUAUUUAUUGUAUCUCUGCAAACAAAAGUUCUGAUAAAAUUAAAAUAUGUAUAUGAUGGGUUUUGUGUGUUUUAAUGACAUCUGUAUGUUUCUAGUUACAAUUUCGGUGCCUGCCCCCACAUUACCUGGCUGGUUAAGGAAAGUGAGAUCAAUGUUCUUACUUCUCCAACGUGUCAUUUUGUUCAUUAACCCCAAUGCUGUUGGCUGCACUCUCUGAAAUCAGUGAUUUGUCUUUGAGCUAUUUCUUUUUUUGUCAAAGCCCUGAGGUACCUGUAUUCCAGCAGUGGCUGCAUUUGCGGGACAUGCUAACAUGGAAAGGAGGAGCACUGUGCUUAAAGGGAGCAUUCGAGAAGAGUCUCCAGCGAAGAUCACGAUGAAGAAUGAAUUUUAUUGUGGCAGUUUCCGUCACUGGCUGCAAAAAUAUGUGGACAGAGAUUUGGAUAAGCUUGA